UACGUAGGGUGCAAGCGUUAAUCGGAAUUACUGGGCGUAAAGCUUGCGCAGGCGGUUUUGUAAGUCUGUCGUGAAGUCCCCGGGCUCAACCUGGGAAUUGCGAUGGAGACUGCAAGGCUAGAAUCUGGCAGAGGGGGGUAGAAUUCCACGUGUAGCAGUGAAAUGCGUAGAGAUGUGGAGGAACACCGAUGGCGAAGGCAGCUCGCUGGGACGGUACUGACGCUGAGGCGCGAAAGCGUGGGGAGCAAACAGG
rnacentral:rRNA from 1 species